rnacentral:lncRNA from 1 species
ACGGAUUGGGUUUGGAUUAACGGGCUAAGUCCCAACCCAAACCAAUCCAAUUCGAUUUUGGAGCUCUCUUUUGGGCUCGUUUGGGCUCGCGAGCUGCUCGGGCUCGAGCUCGGGCUCGGGCUCAGAUUUAAACGGGCCUCAUUUUGGGCUCGGGCUCGGGCUCGUUUGACUAACGAGCCGAGCUCGAGCCGGGCUUUUACCGAGCCGGGCCCGAG